CAUCAAUGUCAAGCUUCUAAGAGACCAAUUGUGCUGCUCAAGUUGGAUUUCACAAAGGCAUUUGACACCAUUGAACAUGAGGCAAUUAUCAGAAUCUUGAGGUACAAAGGUUUUAAUGAAAAGUGGAUUUCUUGGAUCAGGAGCAUUUUAUCCUCUGGUUCAUCCUCUGUUUUACUGAAUGGUGUGCAUGGCCAUCAUUUCAAGUGUAAUAGAGGUGUCAGACAGGGGGAUCCAAUGUCUCCCCUGCUUUUUGUGUUAGUUGCUGACAUGCUUCAAUCUGUGGUCAAUGACAUGUGUGCAAAGGGCAUCUUAUCUUUGCCAAUUCCUACAAACUGUCAGGAUUAUCCUAUAGUAUAG
rnacentral:rRNA from 1 species